UACAGAGGUCUCAAGCGUUGUUCGGAUUCAUUGGGCGUAAAGGGUGCGUAGGCGGCGCGGUAAGUCGGGUGUGAAAUCUCGGAGCUUAACUCCGAAACUGCAUUCGAUACUGCCGUGCUUGAGGACUGGAGAGGAGACUGGAAUUUACGGUGUAGCGGUGAAAUGCGUAGAUAUCGUAAGGAACACCGGUGGCGAAGGCGGAUCUCUGGGCCUUACCUGACGCUGAGGCGCGAAAGCUAGGGGAGCGAACAGGG
rnacentral:rRNA from 1 species